AUUGAACGCUGGCGGCAGGCCUAACACAUGCAAGUCGAGCGGAUGACGGAAGCUUGCUCCUUGAUUCAGCGGCGGACGGGUGAGUAAUGCCUAGGAAUCUGCCUGGCAGUGGGGGACAACGUUUCGAAAGGAACGCUAAUACCGCAUACGUCCUACGGGAGAAAGCAGGGGACCUUCGGGCCUUGCGCUAUCAGAUGAGCCUAGGUCGGAUUAGCUAGUUGGUGAGGUAAUGGCUCACCAAGGCGACGAUCCGUAACUGGUCUGAGAGGAUGAUCAGUCACACUGGAACUGAGACACGGUCCAGACUCCUACGGGAGGCAGCAGUGGGGAAUAUUGGACAAUGGGCGAAAGCCUGAUCCAGCCAUGCCGCGUGUGUGAAGAAGGUCUUCGGAUUGUAAAGCACUUUAAGUUGGGAGGAAGGGCAGUAAGUUAAUACCUUGCUGUUUUGACGUUACCGACAGAAUAAGCACCGGCUAACUCUGUGCCAGCAGCCGCCGCCGUAA
rnacentral:rRNA from 1 species